AACCUCUUGUGUGGACUGGUCCAGGCUGAGGUUGAUGGUAGGGUGGAAAUCGCUGAAAUCUUGGUGGAAUUCCUCAAGGGCCUCCUUCCCAUGGGUCCAGAUGAUGAAGAUGUCAUCAGUGUAGUAGAGUACGGGCAAGUAGAGUAGGUGUGAGUUAGACUGACCUCACACUUGGUAAUGCAACCCCCCCCAUGUAUUUAUAUCUGCUCCUGUAUUUUCACUCCAUGCAUCUGAUGAAGUGGGUUCUAGCCCACGAAAGCUUAUGCCCAAAUAAAUUUGUUAGUCUCUAAAGUGCCACAAGGACUUCUUGUUGUUUUUGCCUCUUAACAGAGGGCAGAUGAGCAUGCUCCCCCUUGCCUGUUGAUGUAAAACAUCAAGGCCGUAUUUUCCAUCAGCACUUGAACCAUUCGGCCGGUUAACUGCGGGAGAAAAACCCCGCAGGCUAUGUGAACCGGCCUGAGUUCUUUGACAUUUAUAUGCAACAUCAUCCCCUCUGUGGACCAUGUACCUUGCAUCCGCAUUGCGCCGAGGUGUGCUCCCCAGCUGAGGUCUGAGGCAUCUGAUAUCAGCGACACCGAAAGAUGCGGGCUGUUGAACGGGAUCCAUCGAGGACCAUUCUGGGGCCCAGUCUCCUGCAUAUGUUCAGCAGUAUCACGACCGUGUCCUGGACCUGGGACCAGGAGUGACACUUGACCAGCCAAUUGUUGAGAGCUUGACCAUCAAAGGGGAGGUCCUGGAUGGAUUGCUGGACCUCCAUCAACAAGCCCGAGGAUGGCAGCCACGCCGCCCUCCUCAUUGUUAUGGCUGAAGCCAUGGUUCACGCUGCAGAAUCAGCUGCAUUCGAGGCUGCCUGCAGUGCCGCUGUUGACACUCCCUGCCCCUCUUCCAGGAUGGCCUGGGACUCUUCUCUGUGGUUCUCCAGGGGGGAAUAGGCAAAUUUGGCCAUCAAUUGCCAAAUAUUGAAAUCCUAGCAGCCCAAUAGGGCCUGAUGAUUCAUCACCCUCAGCUGUAGACUUGACGACAAAUAAA